CAGCUGGGCAUUUAUUCUGAUUUGGCCUGGCUCGGCUGGAGCUGGCUGGUCUUCGACAGCAUCUGGCCCAGUGUCAGCCGGGGUGACAGCCACACGCUUCUCACAAGCCAGCCCAUUCUUGCUCAACGUGGCGGUGGGAAGAUUCUUGGCAGAAGGAGAGAGCAAGCCCUAAUGUGCAAACACAUCUUCAGCCUCUGCCUGUGUCCCAUUUGCUAAUGUCCCAUUGGUCAAAGCAAGGCUGCAGGAAUUCACUAGAAAUGAUAUCACACAAAACCGAGGGAAAGAGGAGAGAGGGAAAGCGACACGGAGCUGAACUUCACUUUCAUAGCAACGGAGACAAUGAGCUUCAGAUUGAUAAUUCAAGACAGAGGUAGAAUCGCAUUAUUUCAAAUCACAGCGUUACCGCCGCAGUUAAAACAAGAGAAGCUUAUCUGAAAAGCGAGAGGGGCUUUUCCACAUCUUGCUAAACACUGUGUAUUCUGAGUCUUUUAUUUGUUUCAUUGUAUGUUCCGCUCCGAAUCUGUGUGCUUCAAAAGAGAGAAAUCACAAGUAGGCAGAGAGGCAG